rnacentral:rRNA from 1 species
AAAAAGCGGAGGAAAAGAAACCAACAGGGAUUGCCUUAGUAACGGCGAGUGAAGCGGCAAAAGCUCAAAUUUGAAAUCUAGUACCUUCGGUGCUCGAGUUGUAAUUUGAAGGUGUUUUUCUGGUGCUGGCCCUUGUCUAUGUUCCUUGGAACAGGACGUCAUAGAGGGUGAGAAUCCCGUCUGAUGGGGUGUCCAGUGCUUUGUAGAAGCUCACCGAAGAGUCGAGUUGUUUGGGAAUGCAGCUCUAAGUGGGUGGUAAAUUCCAUCUAAAGCUAAAUAUUGGCGAGAGACCGAUAGCGAACAAGUACAGUGAUGGAAAGAUGAAAAGAACUUUGAAAAGAGAGUGAAAAAGUACGUGAAAUUGUUGAAAGGGAAGGGUAUUAGAUCAGACUUGGUGUUUUGUGAUUAUCUUCCCUUCUUGGGUUGUGCACUCGCAUCUCACUGGGCCAACAUCGGUUCGGAUGGCAGGAUAAUAGCUUAGGAACGUGGCUCUUUUUUGAGUGUUAUAGCCUUUGUUGAUACUGCCUAUCUGGACCGAGGACUGCGGCUUUGCCUAGGAUGUGCGAAUACGGGAGUG